CCUACGGGAGGCAGCAGUGGGGAAUAUUGCACAAUGGGGGAAACCCUGAUGCAGCGACGCCGCGUGAGUGAAGAAGUAAUUCGUUACGUAAAGCUCUAUCAGCAGGGAAGAAAAUGACGGUACCUGAGUAAGAAGCCCCGGCUAACUACGUGCCAGCAGCCGCGGUAAUACGUAGGGGGCAAGCGUUAUCCGGAUUUACUGGGUGUAAAGGGAGCGUAGACGGUGCGCCAAGUCUGGAGGGAAAUGCCGAAGCUUAACUGCGGAACUGCUUUGGAAACUGACGAACGAGAGUGCGGGAGGGGUGAGCGGAAUUCCUGGGGUAGCGGUGAAAGGCGUAGAUAUUAGGGGGAACACCGGUGGCGAGGGCGGCUUACUGGACCGGAACGGACGUUGAGGCUCGAAAGCGUGGGGAGCAAACAGGAUUAGAUACCUGGUAGUC
rnacentral:rRNA from 1 species